CGACGGGGACCCGCACAAGCGGUGGAUGAUGUGGAUUAAUUCGAUGCAACGCGAAAACCUUACCUACCCUUGACAUGCCAGGAACUUGCCAGAGAUGGCUUGGUGCCCGAAAAGGGAGCCUGGACACAGGUGCUGCAUGGCUGUCGUCAGCUCGUGUCGUGAGAUGUUGGGUUAAGUCCCGCAACGAGCGCAACCCUUGCCAUUAGUUGCUACAUUUAGUUGAGCACUCUAAUGGGACUGCCGGUGACAAACCGGAGGAAGGUGGGGAUGACGUCAAGUCCUCAUGGCCCUUAUGGGUAGGGCUUCACACGUCAUACAAUGGCGGAUACAGAGGGUUGCCAACCCGCGGAGGGGGAGCCAAUCCCAGAAAGUCCGUCGUAGUCCGGAUUGUAGUCUGCAACUCGACUACAUGAAGUCGGAAUCGCUAGUAAUCGCGGAUCAGCAUGUCGCGGUGAAUACGUUCCCGGGUCUU
rnacentral:rRNA from 1 species